UUUCAACAUCCUGGUAUUUUAUUUCCGAGACUUUCCUUCUCUCCUUCUUCUUCACUAUUUCUCUCCAUCUUCACUCUACCCAUCCCCAACUCCAAUUCGAAACCCUAGCUCCGCCAUCCUUUCUCCACCGCCGCCACUUCAUCUCUAUUUUAUAUUUACUAAGUUAUAUUAGGGUUUUGAAACAGUUUUUAUUUUGAUUUUUGCAGAAUGUUUUUCGAUGAUUUUAACACACAAAAUACUUGUGACUGCAACAAACUCUCAACAGCAAGACACAGAUCCUAUGGUUGAGUUCGAUGGUGAAGAAACUGGAUCUUGAUCUAGAUCUAAGAAUUUUAUUUAUCUUUUGGAUUGAAAGUGUCUAAGAAAAGAACAGAAACAAACAGAAAAGAAGCGAAAAGUACUUAGGCUACAUUAUCAUUACAAACUAUGCUUAGGAUGAAAAGAAUAAAAGUUCGUUCGAGAGGUGGGGGCAGCUGUCGGCUGCAUUGGUUCUGUAGAAGCUCUGUCCAAAUGGCUGUCCCGAUCGGUCUUUAGACUUUGUGAUAUAACUGUUGGAUAGCUUUCAAGCCACGAAUUCAAGUUUGCUUUACCGAUGUUCGUGUGUUUCGGGGUGCUGUUUUUCAAGGGCUCUGCUUGCAAAGCAGUGUGGAUAGCUUCUCGUCUGGUUGCUCGCAUCAGCCGCGUGUUUUGGAGGCAUGUUCUAAUGGCGUUAGCAGUUAUUGAUCUAAGGUGUGGCGGUGCCGUUGGGUUUUCAGGCAAUCUGUUAUGGUGUUUAGUCUCUCAUUUUGGACAGGGUUGUUGGUGUUUCUCUGCAGAAAAUUAGAUGUAACAAGUUGUUAGUUGAAUUGGUUUUGCUUUGGUUACAUUGAGUUAUAAGUCCAAGUAUGUAGGAGUUUUAGCUUAUGCAAUAUGCUUUUUUUGGUAUCUGUGUGGUGAACUGCUGUUAGUUAGCAAGAACUUUUGUUAUUUUGGUAUCUCUUAUACCAUUUGGUUAAUAUAAUUCUUUAUGUUGGCCUUUAAAAAAAAAACAGUAACUACAUCUGCAUUGUGUCAACUAAUUAAAAGCAUUGUGUAUUCCAGUAUAAUUAAAGGGCAAGUAUGGUUAAUGAAAUAAUAUCAUUACCAAAAAAAUAAAAAAUAAUAUGAAAUAAUAUUGGCCUUUGUAAUUAACAAAAAUACAAUGCAUAAUUUCACAUAACGCCUCUAACAGCCUAACUUCUAAAAGACUAUCAAAACC